AUAAGGUCUAGCCUGCCCAUUGAAUAAUUGAAAGGCCGCGGUAAUCUGACCGUGCAAAGGUAGCAUAAUCAUUAGUUUUUUAAUUGAAAGCUUGUAUGAAGGGCUGAAUGAAAAAUAAACUGUCUUAUUUGUAAAAAUUGAAUUUAACUUUUAAGUGAAAAGGCUUAAAUAUUGCAAAGGGACGAUAAGACCCUAUAAAACUUUAUAUAAAUUAAAUUUUUUAUUAUAUUUGUUUGUUUAGUAAGAAAUAAUUUAGUAAUAUUUUAUUGGGGCGAUAGGAAUAUACGAUUAACUGUUCUUUUGAAAUACAUAUAUCUUUGGUUAAAAAGAUCCUUAGUAGAGAUUGUAAGAUAAAGUUACUUUAGGGAUAACAGCGUAAUCUUUUUUAAGAGUUCUUAUCGACAAAAAGGAUUGCGACCUCGAUGUUGAAUUAAAAUUUCUUUAUGGUGCAGAAGCUAUAAAAGAAAGUCUGUUCGACUUU
rnacentral:rRNA from 1 species